rnacentral:rRNA from 1 species
GUUUAAUUAGAACAUGAAAACAUGACUCAGUUGGUCUUAGUUAGUCUUCGGGACAGAGUGAAAGAAGGGUGGAGCCUCUUGAACGAGGAAAAGGAUCCCUUCGAAAGAAUUGACCGAGGAGCCGUACGAGGUGAAAAUCUCAUGUACAGUUAUGUAAAGGGAUGGUAA